rnacentral:rRNA from 1 species
GACGAACGCUGGCGGCGUGCUUAACACAUGCAAGUCGAACGGAAAGGCCCUGCUUUUGUGGGGUGCUCGAGUGGCGAACGGGUGAGUAACACGUGAGUAACCUGUCCUUGACUUUGGGAUAUCUUCAGGAAACUGGGGCUAAUACCGGAUAGGAGCUCCUGCUGCAUGGUGGGGGUUGGAAAGUUUCGGCGGUUGGGGAUGGACUCGCGGCUUAUCAGCUUGUUGGUGGGGUAGUGGCUUACCAAGGCUUUGACGGGUAGCCGGCCUGAGAGGGUGACCGGCCACAUUGGGACUGAGAUACGGCCCAGACUCCUACAGGAGGCAGCAGUGGGGAAUAUUGCACAAUGGGCGGAAGCCUGAUGCAGCAACGCCGCGUACGGGAUGACGGCCUUCGGGUUGUAAACCGCUUUCGCCUGUGACGAAGCGUGAAUGACGGUAAUGGGUAAAGAAGCACCAGCUAACUACGUG